ensembl:snRNA U6 U6 spliceosomal RNA
GUGCUCACUUUGGCAGCACAUAACUAAAAUUAGAAAGAUAAGAAAAGAUGAUUAGCAUGGUCUCUGCUCAAGGAUGACACACACAUUCAUGGAGCAUUACACAUUUUU